CAAACUUCGAGUAGAGGGACAGUGCCUUUACUUGGAUCAAGCAAUAAUCAGUGUGGCUAAGGUUGAAGUCUGCAAAUGUCUGAUUCUGAAGCCUAUGGUGUUAACCACCCUGUGUCCUGCUGCUUCUGGUACCCAGAUCAGAUUUCUCUUUUUCUCUGCAGGGAGAAAGCACACAUCCUCUUCACUGCGUAUUCUUUCUUCUUCUUCAUGCCGUCCCCAGUUAUUGGAGUGCUGUAGAAAACGUGUAGCCAGGCACAUGUCAAUGACACGUUUCAGCAGGGUGCCUCCUCAGAUAUGGGACUUCCAGAUCGAGAGGCCUUGGAGGAGGGGACGCCGUCCACAGACCUAGCUGGAAGGAUUAUUGAUGGAUUCAAGGAGACCACGUGCUUUUAAGUGGGGUCCAAAAGAAAUACAACGCCAGUCACAGAUGUAAUUUUAUGUUUUCUAGUAGCUACGUUAUAAAAAGCAAAAAAGAAACGUGGCGGACUUUUUGUUGCUGUAAAAACACAUUACAUUAAAUUUACCAUCUUAAUC
rnacentral:lncRNA from 1 species